rnacentral:rRNA from 1 species
GAUGAACGCUGGCGGCGUGCCUAAUACAUGCAAGUCGAGCGAACGGAUGAGAAGCUUGCUUCUCUGACGUUAGCGGCGGACGGGUGAGUAACACGUGGAUAACCUACCUAUAAGACUGGGAUAACUUCGGGAAACCGGAGCUAAUACCGGAUGAUAUUUUGAACCGCAUGGUUCAAAAGUGAAAGACGGUCUUGCUGUCACUUAUAGAUGGAUCCGCGCUGCAUUAGCUAGUUGGUAAGGUAACGGCUUACCAAGGCAACGAUGCAUAGCCGACCUGAGAGGGUGAUCGGCCACACUGGAACUGAGACACGGUCCAGACUCCUACGGGAGGCAGCAGUAGGGAAUCUUCCGCAAUGGGCGAAAGCCUGACGGAGCAACGCCGAGUGAGUGAUGAAGGUCUUCGGAUCGUAAAACUCUGUUAUUAGGGAAGAACAUAUGUGUAAGUAACUGUGCACAUCUUGACGGUACCUAAUCAGAAAGCCACGGCUAACUACGUG